rnacentral:lncRNA from 1 species
GAUGAUGUCUUAAUUUUGGAAUAGGCUCCCUUCCUUGCGUUUCAGUAUAUCAUACAAUAAGAGUAGUUGUGUUGCUAGCUUGUUUGGCAACUCUUUAUUUCUUACGGUACUAAUAAUUAGCUACUUCUUCUCGCUAGCUUGACACAAUUUUUUUGACCGGGAAAGUGUACUUCCACCUUGAUUCAUAAAUAAUAAUUGAGAAAAAUUAUAUAACACUGUGAAAGGAAUUCCCUAUUAUUAGACAGUACCUCAUUAGGGAUGGCAAAUAGGUAGAGUAGGGUAUAGGGAUCAAAAUACCGUAUCUAUACAUUUUUACAUUUCUCAUCCCCGUACCCGUAAUUAGAUAAUAAGGAUUCCCCGUACUCGUACCCUUUGGGGAUUACGUUUCCAUACCCGUACCCGUACCCGUACCCUUAACAAUUAUGUAUUAAAUUAAAUUUUUUUUAAAAAAUACGAAAUACAAUUAUAUAAAAGUAUAAAAUUAAAAUCAAAUACCAAAAUAAAUAAGUUUCAUGCGUCAAUCCAAUAAAAAUAAAUACAAGUCUUGGUUAAAACAGAACAAUACCGGUAAAUUUCAUUAAGAGAAUAAAAAUAUAUAAUAAAAAGGAAAGUCCAUUAAAUGUUUAUUAAGAGAAUCACAAAUUUUUUUACAUAAAUAUUUAUUUAUAAAUUAUAUAUAACUAUAUAUAUAAUAAAUUAUAUAUUAUAUAUAAUAAUAUUUUCACCCUUAAUGGGUGGGGAUGGGGACGAAUAUCAAAAUACCAUACCCGCCCCGUACCCGAUUUAAGAAUCCGAAUACUGGGGAUCUCCAUCCCCGUUACCCAUUUAUACAUGUAUAUCUUCCCCGUUAGGGUUAGAUAUCUGUGGGUACCCUACCCACUGGGGAUUAUUGCCAUCCCUAUACCUCAUUCUUAGUAAUGACAAAGACCUGAGGACAGCCGUAUUAGCCCAAUUUCAAAAAAGAAAGAAAAAGAAACCACCUCAUUUUAGGUUCACAAUAUAUUUUUUAAUGUAUUAAAUUGUAUAUGCUAGAGGAAAAAAAUAAAAACCCGUUUUGCAUAACAUUCUUAAGUCCAGUUAAUCGAUCUGAACUGGAGAAUUGACUAAUCAUAUAUACAUUAUUAAAGGGACAAUGUCUACUAGCCCUAAUUUUAAGAAUUGUAUUCCCACUAACAAAAUCAGAUUUUAAAAUUUCCAAGAGCCAACUUAAACAGCAGAAAGACAAAUAUACCCUUAAUGAAUUAAAUAAACUACAAUAGACCAUUAUAAGAGCAGAAAGACAAUUAUACCCUCAAUGAAUUAAAUAAACUACAAUAGACCAUUAUAAGGGUCUAUUAUAAAAUAAAAUUUUUAUGAUCGGAUUCUUACGACCAGACUCCGGGGGCCGCUGACCGAACUCCGACAACAGUUGACCGGGCUCCGACGACUGUUGACCGGACUCCGAGGGCCAUUGUGCUUUAGUCACUUAUAACAGGUCUCUAUUGGGGUUAGUAGGACCUCUUACUGGGUAUGACCUCCUACUCGGAUUAGUAGGAUCUCUUACUGGGGGCAGUAGGACCCUUGAACUUAAAAUAUAAGGUAUACAUGUAUCGAGAAAAGUUUUGAAAUGGAAGAAGUGAAGUCUCUACAAUAUUCUAUAAUAUGUAAAACUGAGAAGAUAACUUCUAUCCAAAUCUACACCAAAAGAAUGAAAGCAAGUGACUCUUGACGCCCUAAUUGAAGGACAAUAGGACAUACAUAAAGAGCGCGCAUAAUAUUCCUCCACUAGGACCUCCUACUAGGAGCAGUAUGACCUCUUACUGAGGACAGUAUGACCUCCUACUAAGGUCAAUAGGACCUCCUAUUGAGGGCAGUAUGACCCUUGAACUUAAUUGUGUGCUUCAGUCACUUAUAACAAAUCUCUAUUAUGGGCAGUAUGACCACCUAUUGAGGGCAGUAGGACCUCCUAUUAGGGGCAAUAAGAGUUUAUUAAAGGUAAUAAAACCCCGUAUCGUCCCCAAUAGACCGUUCUAUUCCCCUUAAUAAAGCCUUCAUAUUAUCCAAAUAUAUCAAUAAAUACUGAACUUUUGAUCAAUAACUCAAAAAAAAAAACAUAUUUAAUAAUAUAAAAAUGAAAAGAAAAAAAAAUAAAGGAUAGCAUCCAUUCUUCAAACUAAGAGUGCCACAUCCAUUCAUCUGCCAUGUUUAUUUCAUGAUCCAUUCAUCUCUAAUAACUCAAAACCUCGCCAGAAAAAAAAAAAUAUAUAUAUAUAUAUAUAUCAGAUCUAUGGCUUCACCACCAAUCACGCAUGCUUUCCAGCAAGACUAAACACACCAAUAAACGUCAUCUUUUAACAAUUGAAGUCUACAAAAUUCAAAUUUAUUCAAACAAUAGAGAAAAGAGAAUCGGUGUGGGAUAAAAUCAAAACUCAACCAUGUAGACGAAUCUGCAAAGCACAGAGCCCAGCCCUCAUCCUCUCGUCAAGCUCCGACCCCGUUUGGCAUCAUUAUGUCCGGCACGAGUUAGAAUGCAAGCGCCCAAAAUCCAGAUUCCGGCAAAGCAAUCCAGUCACGCUUCUCGAUCUUAUCUUGGAUAAGCCGAGGCUUUGAGCCAACCUCCAACCUGAGGCUUUGUUGGUGUCGGUGAGGCUUAAUCGGCGCCGUGGAGGAUGAGAGAGAGAGAGAGAGAGAGAGAGAGAGAGAGAGAGAGAGAGAGAGAGAGAGAGAGAGAGAGAGAGAGAGAGAGAGAGAGAGAGAGAGUAGAGAAAGUAAAGUAAAGUAAAGUAAAGUAAAGUAAGUAANNNNNNNNNNNNNNNNNNNNAAGAAGAAGAUCUGAAAAAGAGAGUGGAUAUGAUAAAAAAAAAAAUUAAAGAUAAUAGGGGAGGGGUAAUUUCGUCAAGCAAAAAACACAAAAAACUAAAAAAUUUGUUAGUAGGAAUAGAUCUUUAAAAGUCUAUUGGUUGAUGAGAAUUGUAUAAUCUUAUUUUGUUAAUAGAAAAAAAAAUCUACCCAGGGCGAGUGAGAAGUUUCCUUUAUUAAUAAUCUACUGUUUAAACAGUUUAUAUAUGAGUUAUCUACCUUUUUUACAGCUAACAUCUAUUAUUAGUGAUAUAAUAAAUGGUGUUAAUCUGUUUUCAAAUCCUAAUAAAGUUAAUUGAUAUUUCACGUGUAAUCCAUGCAUGAUAUCUUCAUGGGCCAAUAUUGCUAAUUAGUAUAUUUUGUCCGAGGCUCCGAGCUCCAUGCUUGUUUUCCAAUAUAUUAUACUCCUAAUUAAGCUUGUAAUCUUGAUUAAUCAACAGAUUAACAAUAAACAAGUUGUGAGAAAGUGAGUUUGAAUAGAAUGAUCGCAACGACGAAAGAUGGUAGGGCAAAUAAGUGUACAGAAAUUGGUCGUAUCUGGGUGUGUCGUGCUGGCUGCGUAUUUUCCAAGAUUAAUA